rnacentral:lncRNA from 1 species
AGUGAGCUCCCCAAAUCUAACCCGUCUAAGUCAUGUGGUAGCAGAAACCCACAGACUCUCACAAAGACAUGCAAUGGGCUCUAAACUUAAGUGCAGAUACUUUGAUUACAUUUCUUAAAUUUCUCCAUGAAGUUUCAUGAGAAAAAAGAACCGUACAAAAACACAAUGGCAGAACAAUCACAUUCUUCAGUGACCUCCUCUUGUGUGUUAACAAUGCCUACGAUGCAUCCCUCCGAUGAGCAGCAGGGCUGCACCUGCCACGAGGGGCUGGGCUGCAGGCUGAGCCCUCUGGCUUUGCUGAGAAGGGUGGUGAUGGCAUCGCCUGUACAAAGAUUUCCAGAGGUACUUGCAGAGGAGGAGGGCAGACCAUCAGUGCCUCUUCACCUAUAAAGUCAUGCAGUGGGACCUUAGAGUUAUGAUGGACUCAUAUAUGUG